UCACCAGACUCCUACGGGAGGCAGCAGUGGGGGAUAUUGCACAAUGGGGGGAACCCUGAUGCAGCGACGCCGCGUGGGUGAAGAAGCGCCUCGGCGCGUAGAGCCCUGUCAGCAGGGAAGAAAAUGACGGUACCUGAAGAAGAAGCCCCGGCUAACUACGUGCCAGCAGCCGCGGUAAUACGUAGGUGGCGAGCGUUGUCCGGAAUUACUGGGUGUAAAGGGAGCGUAGGCGGGAGAGCAAGUCGACUGUGAAAUCUAUGGGCUUAACCCAGAGCUGCGAUCGAAACUGUUCAUCUUGAGUGAAGUAGAGGCAGGCGGAAUUCCUAGUGUAGCGGUGAAAUGCGUAAAUAUUAGGAGGAACACCAGUGGCGAAGGCGGCCUGCUGGGCUUUAACUGACGCUGAGGCUCGAAAGCGUGGGUAGCAAACAGGAUU
rnacentral:rRNA from 1 species